rnacentral:lncRNA from 1 species
AAAGAAGAUAGCCAAGUGGCAAAUGAGCAUGCACAAACCCAGGCUACACAUGGGAGCCUCUUAAAUGGUCGCAACACACAGCUUUAGAACGGCCAACGUCCAGAACGUAACAACAGCUCAUGCAGCACGGCUUUCUCCUGACCUCACCAGGAAGAAGAAGCAGGAAGACUGUCAGAGCCAGAUGCAAUGCGUGGCUGCUACAAAGCAAUGUUUCCUGGGCAAUGCAUGCAUGAACUCACAACAGCUGUCACAACAUGAGCGAGGCCCGCACAGCACCAAGCUAGCCAAAAUUAGUAAGAGCUGAGGAGGAGAAGCACCGAGGAGGAGAAGCCCAUCAAGUCCUGCCUCUACCUAAAGAGCUAUUGGCAACUGUCAGUGACUGGGCAAGGAAUUGAUGUGCACUGAAAAUCUACAUAUUUUGGAAAGAUAAUUUAUUUGAUCCAGGAAGGAAAGAAAAAUCAAGGGAAGAGAGAUUUCACGAGUUUACACUUCAUUAUUCUUAGGCCUUAGGAAGAACUCUCAUAUAACAAAAAUGUGGUCUAGAGCUAUAUCAUACAGGCUCAUAAAAGUACAUUGCUCAUCAUUCCAAUGUUGAAAACUUACGAAGUGCAUGCAAUGUUGUAAGGAAAAGCUUUGAGAACUCUUAAGGAGCAGGGAAUUCUGUAGAGAACACUGACCACCACCUGCAAGUUGAUACAUCUGAAUUUAUUUGACCCCGAUGACUCCAAUAAAAGGGGGACACUCUUCUAAUUCACAAAACAGGGAGGCUUCUCAGGCGAGUGAUUAAAUUACCUCCUUAACACUUAACUCUGGUUAGAAUGUGGAACGGGGAAGCUUGAACCAAAUGAUUGCCUAAUUCCUCAGCAAAGUAAUGUGAGCGUCUACAGCGUUGCCCUCCUUCCUUCCCCAAACCUUUGUUUUCCCUGUUUUUCCUACAGAAGACCUUCCUCUGAAUAUGUCUUAAUUCAUAAUUUAACUACUCUUUUCUUAACGUCACUGUUCUUUGUCUUUGACAACGGGAAGAAUGCAAGUUCACAAUUUGUUGGAAAAUUGGUGUUCUAAUAAAUCUACCCAGAAAAUCAUCCCUGGGCCCUGGUAAAUGUCUAGCGACACAAGCGUCCAUCAAUCAAGAUUCCUUUGUUAAAUGUCUGAGACAGAACAAAGCUUCCAGAGGCCUCCCUCCAACUGCAGGAACCCCAGCAGAAGUCACGUAAAUGUUUGAAGUAUUUUGUUUGCUGAUUCUCAAGCCCAGAAAAAGGAAACUUUUAAACAACAGAAAAGAGAAAUCAUUCAGGGGGACCUUUCAGGCUUUGGUCUUUUAAGGUCCAUCCAGUAGAUUGCAGGGAGUCUCGGCACUGCAGGGGUUCUUCUGUAAUUAAGGAUGACUGACCACAAACUCACUAUGUACUGGAAGCUUAUCUUGAACUCUUAGAUCUUCCGGCUUCUACCUUCCACGGACUGCAAUUAUUGGCGUGUACCCCACCUGGGUUGGGAUGAAAUUACUUUCAGAUCAACCAAUACGCUAGGUUCAACCAGAACAUGGAAGGACAAUUUAAAAAUUGCCAAUAGUAUGCCUAGUUAAAUCUAUAGACAUGGUUAAGAGCCUGCUGGCUUGCAGAGGCAGAGAGAGCACUCAGCCAAUGCCUCAGAAGGAAAAGGCUCUUUCUCCACGCUGUCUUAACUACUCUUCAACCCACAGACCCUCCUUCUACUUCCUGGGGCUCACUCCCUGUCAGCUGGUUGCUUGUUUCACCUUGUGACCUAACCCUGACUUUAUUCAGCUCUCCUUUACAGAAAGCUGUUGGGUUAAAGGUGUGGGCUAGGGUUGAGCCACACCAUAACAAGGUUUUCCCAGUUGACCAUCAUGGAGCUCACAAUAAAAUCAAAUAUCCUGC